UACAGAGGGUGCGAGCGUUGUCCGGAAUCACUGGGCGUAAAGGGCGCGUAGGUGGCCCCUCAAGCGUGCGGUGAAAGUCAGGGGCUCAACCCCUGAUCGGCCGUGCGAACUGGGGAGCUUGAGCACUGUAGAGGCAGGCGGAAUUCCGGGUGUAGCGGUGGAAUGCGUAGAGAUCCGGAAGAACACCGGUGGCGAAGGCGGCCUGCUGGGCAGUUUUGCUGACACUGGAGGCGCGACAGCGUGGGGAGCAAACAGG
rnacentral:rRNA from 1 species